UACGGAGGGGGCCAGCGUUGCUCGGAAUUAUUGGGCGUAAAGGGCGCGUAGGCGGUCUGGUAAGUUUGAUGUGAAAUCCCAUGGCUCAACCAUGGAACUGCAUCUCAUACUGCCGGACUUGAGUCUGGGAGAGGGAAGUGGAAUUCCCGGUGUAGCGGUGAAAUGCGUAGAUAUCUGGAGGAACACCGGUGGCGAAGGCGGCAUCCUGGACCGGUAUUGACGCUGAGGCGCGAAAGCUAGGGGAGCAAACGGG
rnacentral:rRNA from 1 species